UAGAGAAUCUUCCACAAUGGACGCAAGUCUGAUGGAGCAACGCCGCGUGAGUGAAGAAGGUCUUCGGAUCGUAAAGCUUCUGUUGUUGGUGAAGAAGGAUAGAGGCAGUAACUGGUCUUUAUUUGACGGUAAUCAACCAGAAAGUCACGGCUAACUACGUGCCAGCAGCCGCGGUAAUACGUAGGUGGCAAGCGUUGUCCGGAUUUAUUGGGCGUAAAGCGAGCGCAGGCGGAAUGAUAAGUCUGAUGUGAAAGCCCACGGCUCACCGUGGAACUGCAUCGGAAA
rnacentral:rRNA from 1 species